GUGAAUUGUGUUGAGAAGAUGACCGGUAGAAUCUUUUCUGAAAUAAUUGAUACCGAAACAUUUUCUGAUUAAUACCAUCACAUGGAUACAGUUAUUGGAUUGAGGUAUAUUUAGAUUAAUUAGAUUAAUUGUUUCUAAGAGCAAUAUUUUAUUUAUGUUUUGAAGUUCAUGAACUAUUUAACACGAGGGAAUGUUUAUCCCUUGAUUCGUUUUAGUUUUCACAUGUUUCGUAUCAACUCUUAUAUUUCAUGCUUUAAAUAUGAACGAUUAUAUUUUUUUUUCUGA